rnacentral:rRNA from 1 species
UACGUAGGAUCCAAGCGUUUGUCCGGAUUUACUGGGUGUAAAGGGUGCGCAGGCGGACUUAUAAGUCAGGGGUGAAAUCUCGCUGCUCAACAGCGAAACUGCCUUUGAUACUGUAGGUCUUGAAUUAGGGAGAGAUUCGUGGAAUUCCGAGUGUAGCAGUGAAAUGUGUAGAUAUUCGGAAGAACACCAGAGGCGAAGGCAGCGAAUUGGCCCUAUAUUGACGCUCAGGCACGAAAGCAUGGGGAUCAAACAGG